CCUACGGGAGGCAGCAGUGAGGAAUAUUGGUCAAUGGACGAGAGUCUGAACCAGCCAAGUCGCGUGAAGGAUGACUGCCCUAUGGGUUGUAAACUUCUUUUAUAUGGGAAUAAAAUGUUCCACGUGUGGGCUUUUGUAUGUACCAUAUGAAUAAGGAUCGGCUAAAUCCGUGCCAACAGCCGCGGUAAUACGGAGGAUCCGAGCGUUAUCCGGAUUUAUUGGGUUUAAAGGGAGCGUAGGUGGAUUGUUAAGUCAGUUGUGAAAGUUUGCGGUUCAACCGUAAAAUUGCAGUUGAAACUGGCAGUCUUGAGUACAGUAGAGGUGGGCGGAAUUCGUGGUGUAGCGGUGAAAUGCUUAGAUAUCACGAAGAACUCCGAUUGCGAAGGCAGCUCACUGGACUGCAACUGACACUGAGGCUCGAAAGUGUGGGUAUCAAACAGGAUUAGAUACCCGAGUAGUG
rnacentral:rRNA from 1 species